GCCUGGACCCAAGGGAAAUUUCUGUGGGGCUGGAAUGAUCUGAGAGGUGAGGAUAUGGGUGUACACUGUGCUAAAAAGCACAUCCAUCCAUAUACCUCAGGUUUGUGCCUUUAACCAUAUGGAAGUUAUUCUCAAUUUAAAAACAAGAAAUCACCCCCAUGAUCUGGGGGCAAGGAGAGGGGAAGGACUCUUGAAGCUUGGAAAGAGUCAGCAAAGUAGACUGCUAUCUCAAAUCCUCCUCUAGCUCUGUUUUUGUUUUUUUGCUUUUUAGGGCUGCACCCAUGGCAAAUGGAAGUUCCCAGGCUAGGAGUUGAAUCAGAGCUACAGCUGCUGGCCUAGGCCACAGCCACAGCCAUAGCAACGCAGGAUCCAAGCCGUGUCUGCAACCUAUACCACAGCUCACAGCAACGCUGGAUCCUUAACCCACUAAGCGAGGCCAGGGAUCAAACCCUUGUCCUCAUGGAUACUAGACGGGGUUAUUACCGUUGAGCCACAACAGGAACUUCCAAGUGGCAGGUGCUUUUAAUGGGUCUGAUAGGAGAAAAUGACUAUUUCUAGAAUCAAAACAUGAAGGUGGAGGAGGGGGAGGCCACCCAUGGCCCAGCAGCCUUAUUUAGGGUUCCCUGUUGUUAAACGCUACUCACUCGCCAAUCCCACGCACACAACAGUCCUUGCAUCCUGGGGCUGUUUCCUUUGAACACACUGAAUCGCCACAGGUUGGGGGUCUAGGACUGUCUGGCGUUCAGUGAAGAGCUUAAUAUAUGCUUAAUGAAACAAUUCUUGGAAGCAAGACAAGUCACCAGAUCACAAAGAGAGAGAAGAAAAAAAGGGAUUAAAAAAAAAUUCCCAUAAACCAAUAUCCACAAAAGUUGUGACAAUCUGGGGGCUAUUUUUAAGGUCUUUCAAUACUUUAGAGCUCUUAUCAAGGAAAAUAAAACCAAGUUCUUUCUCUUUUUAUUCCCUUCCCCUCAGCGCUCCUGCAUUUAAGGUCAUCCUAAGGCAUUUCUUUGCAGUCUCUUUUUGUUGUUGUUGUUUUGUGUUUUUUCGGCUUUUUAGGGCCACAUCCUUGGCAACGCCAUAUACUUAACCCACUAAGCGAGGACAGGGAUUGAACCCGCAUCCUCAUGGAUGCCAGUUGGGUUUGCUAAAUGCUGAGCCACAAUGGGAACUCCUGCAGUCUCCCUCUUUGACUUCAGGACAGACAUGAUUUAGGAUCCCUGGUCAAAUAUGAAUUUUUCUGGUCCCAAUGGCUUCCCAAGGAGACGAACUUUCCAAUGCCCCUGUCCCCCACCCCGUGACCUAUUAUUCAUAAUGUUACCUGGAAUCCUUUGCAUUCAGGCACAAGAGACAUAGUAUUUCCAUUAACAUGGGAAGGGAAUUCUAUGGGAAACAUUACGUUAAAAUAGGGAAGGUAUUUGGGCAUCAGUGUUUUCAACGUCCCCAGCCUCUGACCAAGGACUAGGCUGCAGGACCCAUCCCCACCGCUUGGAAGGGACAUGCUGCAGGUUAAUUUUCUUUGUGAUCUAGUUUAUAUCCUUCUAUUUUAAUGGCAGCCUGGAAAAUGGAGUGAGGCACACAACUCCCCUCCAGCCACGCGGCCUGGAAACUUCUCAGAAGCUGCUCCAGGCUCCAGAUCAGCCCUGCAGAACCUGUCCCUUCCUGCUCUUCAUUCUCUUUUUUUUUUGCUACUUACAAUCCUCUCCAGGUAUAAUGAGCACUUUGUCUCGAGUCAUACAUAAUUAUAUAAGAUGCCACCUUUUGGAGAGGACUGUUACGUGCAGAACUAACCUGUAUUCAACGUCUCAUGUU
rnacentral:lncRNA from 1 species